rnacentral:rRNA from 1 species
GAUGAACGCUGGCGGCGUGCCUAAUACAUGCAAGUCGAGCGAACAGAUAAGGAGCUUGCUCCUUUGACGUUAGCGGCGGACGGGUGAGUAACACGUGGGUAACCUACCUAUAAGACUGGGAUAACUUCGGGAAACCGGAGCUAAUACCGGAUAAUAUUUCGAACCGCAUGGUUCGAUAGUGAAAGAUGGUUUUGCUAUCACUUAUAGAUGGACCCGCGCCGUAUUAGCUAGUUGGUAAGGUAACGGCUUACCAAGGCGACGAUACGUAGCCGACCUGAGAGGGUGAUCGGCCACACUGGAACUGAGACACGGUCCAGACUCCUACGGGAGGCAGCAGUAGGGAAUCUUCCGCAAUGGGCGAAAGCCUGACGGAGCAACGCCGCGUGAGUGAUGAAGGUCUUCGGAUCGUAAAACUCUGUUAUUAGGGAAGAACAUACGUGUAAGUAACUGUGCACGUCUUGACGGUACCUAAGCAGAAAGCCACGGCUAACUACGU